UGAGCGUAGAUGCAGGUCUGUCCAGUGGAGAAGUCACAGAAGGCCUUGAUGGCAUCCAUGGUGCAGCCCUGGUUGGGGUCGAUCCAGUAGAAGCCUGCACAGAGAAACCAAAGGUGCGGGCUGGGUUCUUCUUGGAGCCCUCGGGAGAGAGCAGGCUAUCGAUCUGGGUGUUCAGAGACUUCAGGGUGGCAUCCACCUCGUAGUCCUUGGCCCUGAGGGCGGCCUGGUCAGCAGCGUACUCGUCAAAGCCACCAGAGACGUCAUAAGAGCCACCAGCGGGACCAGGGGGUCCAGGCAGACCGGGAGAUCCGGGAGGACCCUGCAAUCAGACAACACCAUGACCUUAGUGGAACAAGUUCCCUAUGCUUUACGCUUCACGUUAUAUCUGACUGAAAUGUGUAUGAGCCUAAGGAUCUUUCAUUGGGGGAUUCCCCAUCUGCUAAACAGAUAUGUGUUUCUAUACACCCGGUUACUAAUAUAUUAGAUCAGUCAAACAGUUGAUUUCAGCUAUCUACUUUCAGAUAUGUUUUAUAGUCAAAUAUUAUAUUUGAACUUACAGCAGGUCCAAGAUGUCCUUGGGGACCACGGUGACCGACGGGUCCAACAGGGCCGUGGGAUCCAGCUCUUCCAUCCUUGCCAGAAGGUCCAGCAGGACCAGCGGGGCCCUAAAAAGCAACACCACAGAGGAUUGGCCUCUGGCACCAGCAGGUCCGACAGCUCCAGCAGCUCCAACGGGUCCCUAAAGGAGAAAAUGUUUAAAUAAACAUAAUCACCUCAAAUGCAAA